CUUUAAAAAUCUGGAUCAAGCUGAAAAUUGAAACGACACACAGUCAAUGUGUGUUCGAGUCUCUCAAAUUUUCGCGACACGUGGGUGUUUUACGAAACAUCUUCGG
rnacentral:sRNA from 15 species